UAAAAAUUUGAUUUCCGUUUUCGGAUUAUCUUCUUCACAAAAGGCAAAACCAGUCCUUCAUUAGCAUUUGAUUUUAUACUUUGUUUUUGGAGAUUUUGAUCGAAAAUCAAGAUUUUAAAGCUCCAAGCUGUGGUCUAUGCUCUGUUUUACAAGAUUUUUUUUUUCUCUCUCUCUUUUUUUUUGGGUGGGCUUCAAUGUUGAAUUCGUUUCUUCGUUUUGCCAAACAGAGCACAAGACAUUGCUUUUUACUAGUAUUUUAAAUUUGUUCAUUCAACUCUAAGAUAUGUCCCUCAAGUGUAUUGUAUGUAUAUAUAUAUAUAUGAAGCUUAUUGCUUGUUUUGGUUGCAAAGUUCGCAGAGGGGUCGCCAUUAGAGGCAUACAUGGCACUUAAUGAUAUAGAUGCUGCUAUCGAAAGUUUCAAGAAGGCAUUGGAAUUGGAGCCAAAUGAUGCUGGAAUAAAAAAGGAGCUGGCUGCUGCAAAGAAGAAGAUUUCGGAUAGACGAGAUCUGGAGAGAAGCAUAUUCUAAGAUGUUCCAAUAGCAGUUGGUGGUUGCAUGGCUACCAUUGUCUCUUAGGAACAAUAUACAGUUAGUUACUGUGCUGAUUCAAUGUUGGAUUGAGUGAAUUUGUUCAGACUUUUUCACACAUUCAGGUUUUCAUUUGAGGGUGAAGAACAUGAGCAUAUAUCCAAAACCGGCAAAACAACUAUACAAAUUUCAGGCCAGAGCCAAAUUUUAACAACUAGAUUAAUCUAUUUUUAUUUAUUUAUUUUUGAGUUAUUGUAGCUACCUGAUCCAAUGUCCAUAUUUCUCAAGGAACAACUACGUGUCUGGAGAGCAUUAAAUGGAGAUAUUUGCUUGACUAACCUUUUUUUUUUUUUAUCACUGUUGGUUUUCGGUGUACUGUCUUAAAAUUAUAUGGGUCCAUGAUAAUAACAUGUGCUGUAUUGGCUUUUACACUCAAGGGUUACUUUCU